rnacentral:rRNA from 1 species
UACGUAGGGGGCAAGCGUUAUCCGGAUUUACUGGGUGUAAAGGGAGCGUAGACGGAGGAGCAAGUCCGAUGUGAAACUCCGGGGCUUAACCCCGGAACUGCAUUGGAAACUGUUUAUCUGGAGUGCCGGAGGGGUAAGCGGAAUUCCUGGUGUAGCGGUGAAAUGCGUAGAUAUCAGGAGGAACACCGGUGGCGAAGGCGGCUUACUGGACGGUAACUGACGUUGAGGCUCGAAAGCGUGGGGAGCAAACAGG